rnacentral:rRNA from 1 species
GGGUUGUGAGGUUAAGCGACUAAGCGUACACGGUGGAUGCCCUGGCAGUCAGAGGCGAUGAAGGACGUGCUAAUCUGCGAAAAGCGCCGGCGAGGUGAUAUGAACCCUUGACCCGGCGAUGUCCGAAUGGGGAAACCCAGUGUGAUUCGUCACACUAUCGUUAACUGAAUACAUAGGUUAACGAGGCGAACCGGGGGAACUGAAACAUCUAAGUACCCCGAGGAAAAGAAAUCAACCGAGAUUCCCCCAGUAGCGGCGAGCGAACGGGGAGCAGCCCAGAGUCUGAAUCAGCUUGUGUGUUAGUGGAAGCGUCUGGAAAGUCGCACGGUACAGGGUGAAAGUCCCGUACACGAAA